AAAACCAGCAGACCCAGUAGCUCUCCAGGACCAGAGCUGGAGACAUGCAUCUUCUUUCUGGAUGAAAAAUAUUUGCUUGUUACUUUAAAGACUGGGAAAAAGCUCUGUCUUGACCCACAUGGCAGGCAAGGGAAGAGGAUCUUGAGCAAAAAGCGACCUCUGACACGAGGGAAGGCCCGGAAAGGAAAGCGAGGUCAGAAAAAACGAAGAAACUU